rnacentral:lncRNA from 1 species
UGUGAAACACUGACAGAAGAGAAUAGGAGGUUACAAAAAGAACUGCAAGAAUUAAGAGCUUUGAAGACCUCUCAGCCUUUCUACAUGCAGCUGCCUGCCACCACACUCACCAUGUGCCCCUCAUGUGAGCGCGUGGUCACAACUGCCUCCACCACCACCACCACCCCCACCACCACCACCACCACCACCAACAACCACAUAAAGUCUGCUCAGAACAAGCAGCCAAGGUUAAAUCCAUUUGCUGCUCAGGUCCACAUGCAGCAGCAGCAUCAAGGUGCAGCUGCAUGACAUGUCAACAUAGAAUCUGAUAUCCUGCUCUCUCCAUUCCAUUUGUAUAUAUUUUGGCUUGGAGUUGGGUUUUAUUGUCUUUUGCUCUUAAUUAUUUUAUUUAUUUUUAGGUUUGGUUUUCCCAAUCUUUGUCUCUGUGGUUUCUCCUUAUAAGUUUUAGAAACCAUAGACGGAAAGGGUGAUAUGAUAUAUUUUUAUUAUUGAUGAGGAAAUUAGACACGAUUUUGCUAGAAAUGCCCUUUAAAAUGGUUUUGUUGUGUUAUGUGUUUUGAGAGGGAUAUCAAACUUAGUUACUUAUAUUUUAAUGAUCCUUUUCCCACGUAUGCUACAUUUAUGACUAAUGUUUGCCCAUCGAUCUUUUGCUAUUUUGGGUAAUAUUAGGGAGAUUAAAUUUGUAGAUAAAAUUUGUAAACAAAAUAAUGUGGAAGUUGAUUACUUAAAUGUUGAUAAAUGUUCUCAAAUUUUAUUUACAAAUUUAGUCUUUCAAGCAUUAUCUAAAAUUUUUUCAAUGUGUUCAGCACAUGAUGUGUUACAUCACAUGUUAUUAUACAAGUGAUUGGAUAUUUGAAAAAUAAAACUUUUUUUCAGUACUAGUGCGUCCCGUGUUUUGAAUAAAUUGAAAAAUUAUCGAUCUUUUGCAUGAGAUCGAUAAAUAACCAAAGAUUUCCUUUACUAGACAGUUAACUAGUAUACUUAGAUCAUCUCCAAUCGAAGGCUAGUUAGAGGGCUUGUUUUAGUCCUCUGGCAUUCUAAGAAAUUAAUAUUUUAAUGAAUAGUACAUGGUCAUAUUUGCUUCGAUUUCUAAUUGAGGGCAAAAGAGCCAUACGGCUCGUUUGAGCCUUAUCACAAAAACUACAACUUAAAUUCAAAUCCAACAGCAAAGUGACGUCAGCUAGCCGUUGGAUUUGAAUUUUUUUUUGCUAUAAAAAGGAUGGAUAUUGGGCUAUAAUUCACACAAUUUUCAAUUCAAUAUCUUUCAAUUCAAGUUUGCAAUGAAUUCCAACUGGGGGUCCUUAUCCAAUUCCAAAUUGGAAGAAAAAUGGGCGCAAAUGAGAUGAGGAGUUUGAUGAAGAAGUUCAAGUAAGGCGUAACAAACAAAAUAGAGUAACAGCCAUGGCUGCGUCCAUGGUGUGUCGGCCAACUGAGGAACAACCUCAAUGGGGUGGCUUUGUUGCUGCUCGCUUUUAUAAACCACGAAACAGAGCGAUGACACAUGCUAAUCUGAUGAACAACUACUUUAACCCCAAUUCGGUGUACACAGAAGAGGAUUUUAGACGUCACUUCCGGAUGAGGCGUCAUAUCUUCGAGCGUUUACUUCGUGAUUUUCACCAGGUCAAUCUAUACUUUCGACAUAAGUGGGACAGAGCAAGCCGCCCUGGUUUCUCACCUCAUCAAAAGGUUACUAUUGCACUCCAAAUGAUGGCCUAUGGCUCCCUAGCUGAUUCGAUGAAUGAAGCCCAUGACAUGUCUAAGUCUACAUACCUUGAUACUCUUGAACAAUUAUGCGACACAAUUGUUCAAGUGUACAAAGACGAGUACCUCCGCGAGCCAAAUCAAGAAUAUCUUAAUCGGCUCUUUCGCAAAGUUGAAGACCGUGGGUUUCCAGGCAUGAUAGGGUCAUUAGACUGCAUGCAUUGAGAUUGGAAGAACUGUCCCACCUGAUGGCAAGGAGGCUUUUGCAGAAGGUCGAGAAAGCUAACUGUUGUGCUAGAGGCGGUUGCCUCAUAUGACACAUGGAUCUGACAUGCUUUCUUUGGAGUCCUUGGAUCCCAAAAUGAUAUUACAGUUCUUGGGUGUUCACCCCUCUUCAAUCGCCUGAUGGAAGGUAAAGCACCUCAACUUGACUCAUACAUCAACGACCGUCAAUACAAUAUGAGAUAUUACUUGGCAUAUGAUGUCUACCCAAAGUAGGUGACACUUGUCCAAGCAAUUCCAAACCCUAGGAAUGAUGCGGAAAAGUUAUUUACCUUACACCAAGAGGCAUACCGAAAAGAUGUUGAGAGAGCUUUUGGUAUUCUACAAGCACGAUGGAAGAUCAUUAGCGAACCUGCAAGAGGGUGGAGUCGAGAAAAUUUGGACUCUAUCAUGAUGUCUUGCAUAAUAUUACACAAUAUGAUAGUGGAGGAUGAGCGAGAUGAGUAUAUUGAUGGAGAGUCUGAUGAUGACCAAGAAGAUCCAAAUAGGUAAAGAAGGGCUCGUGCAAAAUAUAUAUGAUAGGCCUAAUUUGCCUUUCAAUCCAAGAACUGGUAGUAUCUCUAUAAAUAAGUACAUGAUACGCUAUAAAAUGAUAUGUUCUCGUGCCACAAAUAAGUACCUACAACAGGAUCUUGUUACACAUCUUUGGCCAAAAAUAGCUUGGAGUAUGCGUUUAAGUUUUAUGUUAUAUAAUUUUUAUGCUGGUUAAUAUUAUUUAAUGUUGUUUCAUAUUGUUUAAUGUUGUUUCAUGUUACUUAAUUUAAUUUAUGUUGUAUAAUGGCUUAGGAUGUUAUAGGAAAAAAAAAUAGAAUUUAAAAAAUAUAUGAAACAAAUUUUGUAAAAUAAAAGUUAUAGGAAAAAAAAUAGAAUUUAAAAAAAAUAUAAAACAAAUUUUGUACAAUAGAAAGAUAUAGAAAAAAAUAGAAGUUAUAGGAUAAAAAUUGUGUAAAAAUAAAAUUAAAAAAAUUGUAAAAAAAAAAAUAAUAAUAAAUAACGGCUAGCUGACGUUAACUAGCCGUUGCAUUUGAAAUUUGGCCUAGAAAUAUAUUUAUAUUCUUGUCGGUUAUAUCCGACAGGAAUGCUAGAAUUUUUGGCCUAGCCUAGGGCUGGUUAGUUGGUUGGAUUGGGCUAGCCGGUUGGCCUUUUGACCCUUUCAGAUUCCGUAAGGCCCACGAGCCCUAUGACCUAGCCCUCGGUUGGAGACGAUUUUCAGGCUAUUUUCGGGUUUCUGGACCCUUCGGUUGGAGAUGGCCUUAUGGAAGAUCUUGCUUUGAGAUAUCCUAUGAUGAUAGGCUACACUUACAAAUACUUUCAUGCUUGUGGAAGAUCUUUGGCUUGGCCUGUCCUUCGAGAAGAUGUGUUAUUGGAGACAACAGUUGGAUGUAGUUUAGGCAUUUGUAAUUUUUUUUUCUUCAUGGAUCGAGAUUGAAUUAAUCGAAUGAAAAUCUAUAAUUAGGCAAACACAAAGAUCAAUGAGUCUAGAAGAAAAAAUGAUGAAUGUCAAAAUUACUAUCCAAUUAGAUUAAAUCCUCAUGUCGAACUCCUCCAUUUACAGCAAGAGGUUUUUCAAACCAAGAACAAUAUAUAGUCUCUUGCAACUUUUCAUCGUCUUAUUGGAGCUCAGAACCUCUCCCAAAAUUUCACUUAGCAUAUCUGGUCGAUUCGAUGAAGAUCUAGUCUUCAUAAUACACUUUUGUAUUUUGGUACUUGUGUGUUUUGGAUGAGAGGUGGAUCUUCAUCUGAUCUUGAAGAUGGAGACGAUAAGUCGUUGUUUCACUAGAUGCGAAUGAGGAUAGCCUCCAAUGUGUAAAAGCAUGCCAAACAGAUGUGCGGUAACUUGCAUGUUAAGAUACAAAAUAGGGAGUUUUAAUGAUAAGUCUACGGACUGUUCAUUUUAACGACAAAUCAUAUUUUUAUAUUAAAAAGUUGAACCUGGUACUAUUCACUUUACCAUUUAUUUUGUUCUUGUCGUUAAAACUCAAAGUUUUCAAACCCUUUUCAUUAGUUUUCCUUACAAAAUAUACUAUCUACAUCUUCAUCUCGUUGCAUGGAAAAUUCAAGCGAUUUCAAGUUAAGAUGCAAACUUCAAAUUUGCAUAUUUUUUGUUAGCUUAAUUGUAUUUAAUUUUAUCUGUUUGAGAUUCUUUGUCAACCAUAACGAUCGUUCAACUACAACUGUCAAUUUAAUGUCAUCCUAAACCCUAUCUUGUGGUUUGUCUUGUCAUUAUUUGUUGAUUAGAUGCCAUUGCGAUGAAGGAACUUAUUUUAAUAUAGAACGACAUUGACAAAACCAUUAUUCCAGACACCAAUAUGACCCAUAAUUUCUACAACAUGUUUAAAGGAAUUUUGUUUUUCUUCACGAUUAAGUUUUGUGUGUCAUCCUUUUGUUCAUCAUCUUAUCAUUAUUUAUGAUUACGUAUAGUAAAUUUGAUGUGUUGAUGUUAUCCACAUUCUUAGUUUAUUUUGGAACUUAGGUAACGAUUUUUGUGGUCCAAUAUCAUAGUACAUAGAGUAUUUAGUUUCUACUCAUGCAUUCCGGUUUCAAAACUAGUAACUUUUCUAAAUAUUUGUAAUAGUUUCAAACUGUUCCCUUUCCCUUUAAUAUAGUAAUUUUAUUUAAAAAAAAAACUUGGGUAACACUAUUUUUGCUCUCUCAUUCUAUGAAUAAUGUUAGGAACACCGCAUAUUUUUACCACAUUAAUGUAUUGUAUGUGACAAGUGCUAUAUACAACCAAUUAGUAAAAAAGAUAUAUACAACCAACAUUUAAUGAUAUUAAUUCAUUAAUUGAUGUGACAUGUGAACAUCAUUUAUCAUAUCAAAUAGUAUAUCAAUAUAAUACAAAAAUGUAGUCUUCUUAACAUUUUAUACUUAUUUACUUUCUUUUUUAGAAGAUUCAUGCUCUCUCAUUCUCUAAUUCUAUUUUUAUGUUUAUAUCAAUCAACACUUUUUUGUCAUUGAUGAGUUAUUGGAGGAUAAAGAUUUAUUUUCUUUGUCGAUAUAUUGGGGAUAAUGAUGGAGCCACUACUCGAAAAUCCUAACUUUGUUGUGAGUAGAAAAUAAACACCUCCCUCAUCACAUUGAGGCGUGAGUGAAAAAAACUUUAAGGAAUUUUGGUUGUCGAUAUUCAUCACACUAUAUGGUGCUAUUAAUACAUAUUUAAUAAAAGGAAUAAACGAGGGAGUGAGAUUCUCUCCCAUUCCAUCCCCUCCUAUUUAAACGGUUGUGAUUAUGCUAAUCUACAUCUUGUUUUGAAUUUUUUAUGUGGAGAAUAAGAAAAAAAAAAGUGUGAGAGGAGGGGAUGGAGGGGAAUGGUAAUAGGAGAGGAGAUAAUCCUACUCCAUAAACGUGGGACAUAAUUGAUAUUUCAUGAACCUAAUAAUAUAUAGUACUAAUGAAUCAAUACACUUGUUAUAAUUAACACGAUUAUAUUAAUAACAUUAUAUAGUAAUGUAACGUUGCACAGAAACUUUAUCCCGACUUUGUGGCAUCAAGAACAAACGUGUGAAACAUGCAAGGAUAAAGAUUGAUGGAGGGUUGAAAAUAUAGUGGUGAUCAAUAAAACACAAAAGUCGUGUAAAUAUAUGCAUUGAAUCCAUAAAUGAUUGAAUAAUUAAACAAAGGACAUGGAGAAAUCAAUCGAAAUCGGACCAUAUAAUACCAUACAUAAUAAUGCUUGAAAAGCAAGUUAAACAAACGUAUUUUGUGUGAAAUUUGGUCCAAUAGCUGUUGGAUGAGUGACUAAAAUUGAUGUGUGAGUGAUGGAAAACCGAUAGCUAGCUGUAAAUGAUGUGCUCAGCAAAGCCCCUACAAAAUACUAGCAAGGACGAGAUGGUAGUCGGUAUGGACUAAAUUCAAGGGUUAUAUUACAAGUCAAACACCUAAACUAUGACGUUAAAUUACAAGACAAGCAAAGCAUGACUACUGAUUCAUGAAGAGCGAUAGUAUGAGGACAUUUGGGUAGGUCCAGGAACGAGCCAAAAGUUUUGUUCAUUGCGGCAUCCUUAAACAAUAAAGUAACAAAAAAUAAAUCUAAAGAAUAUGAAUAACAAGUCUGACUACUCGUUAAUUUAAACUACCAAAGACAACUCACUAUAUUAUCAAAUACGGUUGUCGCUGUAUGUAACCAUGUUAUCAUUGAUACCCCUCUUCCAUCUAAUGUCACAAUCAUUAUAUAAUUUUUUUUAGGUCUUUGUAUGUUGGGUAGUCAAUAAACCUGGGUGGGGUGUUGUCAAUUUAACAAGAUUAUGUUAUUUCAUAUAAGUGGUUAUUAACGGGGUAUGUUACUUAGACAUGUAGUACAUAUUUGUUUUUUCUAUACAGAAAAUGAGUGGGGACAUCUGUCCGUUGCGCCUAUAAUAACGUCUAUGGAUAGAUGUAAGGUUUUCUUUAAUAAUAAUUACCGAACAAAUUUUCAAUUUUCAAUUUUCUGAAAAGCAUAAAUGAAACUAAAAUCUGAAAAAAAAAAUUAUCAGACGAACUCUUAACUUGUUGAUUGUUAUUAUCAAGUAUAACACAUUUUAAGAUUUACUCGUCUCUGGUUACACAUGAAUACUCAUUUUUUAGAGCCAUUGCUUAUCAUAAUCAAGAACAACAAACCUAUUACGGAUCUAAAUUGAUAUUCCACAUCAAUCUUGUCUCUAGAUGCAAAUAUGUCUUCCCAUUUACGUUUGUUAUUGGAUGCAUUUAAAAAUUAAAAUCAUGCAUAACUAGUGCGGUUGGCUACAGAUUGCCCAAAUGUGGUAUACAAUUUCGAGUCUUGGGCCCCAUGGUUUUUAUAACAACACCCCUGUGCCAUGAAGUCCUAUAGUCCAUAGGCGAAAUCGCUCCCCACCGGAUUUGGAUCCUCUCCGGAGCAGAGGGUCCAAAUCCUGCUGACCAAACAACACGGACCAUUGGAUCAAAAUCCAACGGCUAUAAUUAUUAUAACUUUUAGAGGAUUCCCUGUGUGUAGCUGUUGGAUUUUGAUCUAACGGUCUGUGUUGCUUGGUCAGCAAGAUUCAGAACCUCUGCUCAGGAGAGGAUCCAAAUCCCUCCCCACCCACCCCUCCCGCAAGCUUAGGAAUCCCGCAACACCCAUCUUACCGCACCCACCUUUGUGUCUUUCCUCCAUGCUGCGUCAUAAUUUAGCUUCAAUUCACCAAAGAUGGGUUUCUGCCAUCGAUAAUCUCCCCCCCCCCCCCAAUCCGUACCCCCUGCAAUUCCGAUGCUCCUUUCCCUCCAAUACCGAAUCCACCAUAGCAUCCCUAAACUCCUCAACUUGCUUCUUCCAAAGCUCAACAUCAACAUGAGGUAGGAUUCUGGUUCUUUUAAAAACAGCCUCAUUCCUAUACUUCCAAAUACACCAGAAGCCAAAUACCACCUAUUGCAAAAUCCAAUCCGCAUCUUCCACCUUCUCUGUACGCUCCACUAUCCUCUGCCAUCCUUCUAGAAAAUCCUACACCCCCAUAGCCACCAUAUCUAUAUGCACUGACAUUCCAAACCAAAACACAUGAUUGAAUUCACACCCAAAGAAAAUGUGAACCUCUGUUUCAUCAAGCCCACCACAGAGUUCACACUUAUUCAUAACUCUAAUCCACCGUCGCUCCAAAUUAUGCCUCACACAUAAAAAAACCGAAGUUAAUUCGGUACUGCUAGAUUCCAUAUUCUCUUCCACACCCUUCCUAACGAACCACUUGAACUCGACAUGCAACCCCCCAUUUGCGACCAAACUCUCUAUUGUUCUACCGCUACAUAAUAUCUCGACCCCACCGAAUACUUCCCAUUCUUUGUGUAGUUCCAAUUUCUUUUAUCAUUGCACCCACUUCUACUAAUCGGAAUAGUUUGAAUCAACUCCAAAUCCUCCGGUUCCACCAAUGCCAUUAUCACCUCCAUUUUCCACCCUUGCCUAUCGGAGGCAAUUAAAUCACAUACCUUUAAAUUAGUAGCUCCAUUCCGCAUCGCCGGUUUGGACGAAUUAGGCUUAGGAAGCCAUGGAUCACUAGCCAUCCUAAUCGAUUCACCAUUGCCCACCCGCCACCGAAGACCUCGGUUUAGUACUUGCCUCCCCAAUAAAAUACCUUUUCGCCCCCACAACAAUUUAUUUUGUUUGUUCGCCUCCAUGAAGGAACAACAAACAACAACAACAAAGCAUUUUCCCACUAAGUGGGGUCGGCUAUAUGAAUCCUAGAACGCCAUUGCGCUCGGUUUUGUGUCAUGUCCUCCGUUAGAUCCAAGUACUCUAAGUCUUUUCUUAGAGUCUCUUCCAAAGUUUUCCUAGGUCUUCCUCUACCCCUUCGGCCCUGAACCUCUGUCCCGUAGUCACAUCUUCGAACCGGAGCGUCAGUAGGCCUUCUUUGCACAUGUCCAAAUCACCGGAACCGAUUUUCUCUCAUCUUUCCUUCAAUUUCGACUACUCCUACUUUACCUCGGAUAUCCUCAUUCCCAAUCUUAUCCUUUCUCGUGUGCCCACACAUCCCACGAAGCAUCCUCAUCUUCGCCACACCCAUUUUGUGUACGUGUUGAUGCUUCACCGCUCAACAUUCUGUGCCAUACAACAUCGCUGGCCUUAUUGCCGUCCUAUAAAAUUUUCCCUUGAGCUUCAGUGGCCUACGACGGUCACACAACACGCCGGAUGCACUCUUACACUUCAUCCAUCCAGCUUGUAUUCUAUGGUUGAGAUCUCCAUCUAAUUCUCCGUUCUCUUGCACGAUAGAUCCUAGGUAGCGAAAACAGUCGCUUUUUGUGAUCUUCGCUAGAUUGCUCCGGUCAUUAGUGUGGAUAAGUAUAUAAAUGGAUAGAGACAGGAAAGCAAACACAAGAUGUACGUGGUUCACCCAGAUUGGCUACGUCCACGGAAUAGAGGAGUUCUCAUUAAUUGUGAAAGGUUUACACAAGUACAUAGGUUCAAGCUCUCCUUUAGUGAGUACAAGUGAAUGAUUUAGUACAAAUGACAUUAGGAAAUAUUGUGGGAGAAUGAUCUCGUAAUCACGAAACUUCUAAGUAUCGGAGUGCGGUAUCGUCUUGACUUGCCUUAUCUGUCUCACAGGUAGAUGUGGCAUCUUCUCUGGAAGUACUCUUCCUCCAUCCAGGGAUGGUAUCUUUAACUGGUGGAGAUGCACAAGGUAAUGUAUCAAUUUCACUUGAAGCUUACUUGUAGUUUCAGGCUUGGUCAAGCGCGAUACAAACCAUGUAGUAGGAGUCCCCCAAGUCGCCGAGCUAGAUGAUCUGCUGAAAGAGGUGACAGACAAGGUAAGCAAUCAGAGCUCUGGCUGAUUGUUCACAUUUUCCCUAUCUUGCAGGCAGCAUGAAGGAUAAAGAAAAGAAAAUGAGAAGAGAUGAUAUGGGAUACUUUUGCUUUUGAAGAAUUAACUUUCCACAGGCUUAUUCUUGAACUGAGCUGGAGGGUUUUCUGGUUUCCUCCAGAGUAUAAGGCCGACUGAAGAAUUUGAGGGUCAAAACAAGUCCAUCAAAUCUAGAGUACGUUCGACCGUGCUGAUAUGGGAUACUUUUGCUUUGACAGAGUAAUGGAUGUAUCGGCACGUGUGCUGUUUCACUUGUCUCCAUAUGCUUCCUUGUAUCCUUCUCCCUUGCCCAAUCUGUUCCUCAGGCAGAUGCGGUAUCUUUCCUGGAAGCAUAAGAUGUUGAAGAUGAGUACUCGAGAGCAAUGGCAGGUAAGUAAUCAGGUAAGGGGUUCCAGGCAGUCAGUUCCUGGCUGGAAGCUUGAUUCCAAGUGCUGACUGAUUGCUCUCUUUCUCCUUGUCUUGCAGAUAAGAACAAGGCCAAAGGAAAAGACAGGGAAAAAGCAUGAUAUGGGAUACUCUUGCUUUUAACCCUGAUGAUAUGAGAUAUUCUUGCUCUAGUAUAGCUUGUUUGCAGAGAUAUUAUCGGGGGGAAAGAAAGCUGAAUAUUUCGAAAGGCUUCGUUGAGAGUGCCCUCUCAGAUAUGAGAAAGGGUUGAGCAUUUUUGCAGGUCUGCCUGUCCGUUGGGGAUGGAGGUCGACAUAUAUAGGAGUCUCCUUAACAACAAGUAGUAAUGCUAUUCCUUUACCCUACUUGGUCAUAGCACGGUAGUGGGAGCUGCCAGCUUCACAUGUUUUAACUCUGUCAGAGCACUUUGAAAAAAUGGUCUGUGGUAUCUGGAAAGGUGAUGUUGCGUGUGAAGAUUACAGACAACUUUAUCCAAGGAGAUCCGGCUCUUGAAGUUGGGAAAGUGUUGCCUCUUCGGUUUUCGAACAAGCAAUCCUAUCGGGGAUCUGGCUCUCGAGAUUCGAAGAAUGAUGCCUCUUCCAUUUUUGAGAAAGCAAUCAUGCUGGGGGUCUCGAGAUUCGGAGGGCGGUGCCUCUUCGAUUUUGGAGCAAGCAAACUUGUGGGAAGUGUUUUCUCGAAUGUGAGUAAAGGUUGGGCAUGUUUGCUAGUCUACCUUGCCACGAAGCACAGAGGUUGACACAUAGGGACUUUCCAAUUAUCCAGCAAUGGUACUGUUCCUUUACCCUCUCUUCGAUUUUUGAGAAAGUAGUCAUGUUGGGAGUCUGGCUCUCGAGAUUCGGAGGACGGUGCCUCUUCGAUUUUGGAGCAAGCAAUCUUGUUGGGAGUGUUUUCUCGAAUGUGAGUAAAGGUUGGGCAUGUUUGCUAGUCUACCUUGCCACGAAGCACAGAGGUUGACACACAGGGACUUUCCAAUUAUCCAGCAGUGGUACUGUUCCUUUACCCUUGUGGGUAAUAAUAUGGUAGCUAGACCUUCAAAAUUUAUGUGUCUAAACUUUGUUAGUGCUGUUUCUUUGCUAUUCUUUUACCCUUCUUGGUUAAAGCGAUGUAGUGAGAGCUGCAAGCUUCACGUGCUCAACUUUGGCAGAGAACUUUGGCAAAGUUAUCUGUGGUACCCAUGAGCUACUGUUGCGUGUGGGGAGUGGGUGAUUGAACAGUAAGACUCAUGCGCUUUCUACUUCACCAGAAGUCUUCGACAGAAUGCCCAUAAUUUUCGCAAAGCUGAGUGUGCGUGUGACAGGUGCUGACAAGGCUGGAAAAGUAGGUGUCUCUUCGAUUUCUGAGAUCGGCCCUCGUGGUCUCUGAGCAGCCCAGCUUUUGAGAAAGCAAGCGCCUCUUCGAUUUCUGAGAUCGGCCUUCGUGGUCUUUGAGCAACCCAGCUUUUGAGAAAGCAAAGGCCUCUUCGAUUUCUGAGAUCGACCCUCGUGGUAUCUGAGCAGCCUAGCUUUUGAGAAAGCAAACGCCUCUUCGAUUUCUGAGCAGGUGCCUCUUCGAUUUUUGAAGCUCUGUCGAGUGCAGAUUUUUAUAGGGGCUGACAUUAAGUUCCAAAGCACACUUGAAUCUCCACCAGUAGAAGCUCCAUUCUUGCACUUCUAAGAUCUUGAUUUGUCCGACCUCUUCUCUCUUCAACACCUUUGAAAAUGUCUGGCCCCUCCGACCGUCGUUUUGACUUGAACCUUGUUGAAGAGGCAGCUCCGCCUUCUCCAGACAACAUAUGGCGCCCAUCCUUCAUCUCCCCUACUGGUCCUCUUACCGUUGGGGAUUCCGUGAUGAAGAAUGAUAUGACCGCUGCGGUGGUGGCCAGGAACCUUCUCACUCCCAAAGAUAACAGACUACUUUCCAAACGGUCUGAUGAGUUAGCUAUUAAGGAUUCUCUGGCUCUCAGUGUUCAGUGCGCAGGUUCUGUGUCUAAUAUGGCCCAACGCCUAUUUGCUCGAACCCGCCAAGUUGAAUCAUUGGCGGCUGAAGUGAUGAAUCUCAAACAGGAGAUUAGAGGGCUCAAGUAUGAGAAUAAACAGUUGCACCGGCUCGCACACGACUAUGCUACAAACAUGAAGAGGAAGCUUGACCAGAUGAAGGAAUCUGAUGGUCAGGUUUUACUUGAUCAUCAGAGAUUUGUGGGUUUAUUCCAAAGGCAUUUAUUGCCUUCGUCUUCUGGGGCUGUACAAAUGAUCAACCUCUAAUGCCUCAUCCUUCUAGGGUUCUGUCCAGUACUGAGGCUCCGAAUGAUCCCCCUCCGGUGCCUUCUCUUUCUGGGGCUCUACCGACUGCUGAGACUUCUCCUAAGCAACCUUUGUGAAGGCUCCCUCUUGUUUGUUUAUUUUGACUUAUGUAUAUGUACAUAUUUGUAGCUUAUCGGGGAUAUCAAUAAAUAAGCUUUCCUUCAGUUCAACGUAUUGUGUUAAUUACACCAAAGCCUUCUUCGCUAAGUUCUUUGAAUUUUCUUUUGUUGAAGCUUUGUGAGUGGAGCAUGUAGGUUGAGGUAGUGUUCCCUUAAUUUCCUGAGUGAGGAAAACUUCUCGGUUGGAGACUUGGAAAAUCCAAGUCACUGAGUGGGAUCGGCUAUAUGAAUCUUAGAACGCCAUUGUGCUCGGUCCUGUGUCAUGUCCUUCGUUAGAUCCAAGUACUCUAAGUCUUUUCUUAGAGUCUCUUCCAAAGUUUUCCUAGGUCUUCCUCUACCCCUUUGGCCCUGAACCUCUGUCCCAUAGUCGCAUCUUCUAAUCGGAGCGUCAGUAGGCCUUCUUUGCACAUGUCCAAACCACCGUAACCGAUUUUCUCUCAUCUUUCCUUCAAUUUCGGCUACUCCUACUUUACCUCGGAUAUCCUCAUUCCUAAUCUUAUCCUUUCUCACGUGCCCACACAUCCAACGAAGCAUCCUCAUCUCCGCUACACCCAUUUUGUGUACGUGUUGAUGCUUCACCGCCCAACAUUCUGUGCCAUACAGCAUUGCCGGCCUUAUUACCGUCCUAUAAAAUUUUCCCUUGAGCUUCAGUGGCAUACGGCGGUCACACAACACGCUGGAUGCACUCUUCCACUUCAUCCAUCCAGCUUGUAUUCUAUGGUUGAGAUCUCCAUCUAAUUCUCCGUUCUUUUGCAAGAUAGAUCCUAGGUAACGAAAACGGUCGCUCUUUGGUAUUUCUUGAUCUCCGAUCCUCACCCCUAACUCGUUUUGGCCUCCAUUUGCACUGAACUUGCACUCCAUAUAUUCUGUCUUUGAUCGGCUUAGGCGAAGAUCUUUAGAUUCCAACACUUCUCUCCAAAGGUUAAGCUUUGCAUUUACCCCUUCCUGAGUUUCAUCUAUCAACACUAUAUCGUCUGCGAAAAGCAUACACCAAGGAAUAUCAUCUUGAAUAUGUCCUGUUAACUCAUCCAUUACCAACGCAAAAAGGUAAGGACUUAAGGAUGAGCCUUGAUGUAAUCCUACAGUUAUGGGAAAGCUUUUCAGUUUGUCCUUCAUGAGUUCUUACGGCAGUCUUUGCUCCUUCAUACAUAUCCUUUAUAGCUUGGAUAUAUGCUACUCGUACUCCUUUCUUCUCUAAAAUCCUCCAAAGAAUGUCUCUUGGGACCCUAUCAUACGCUUUCUCCAAAUCUAUAAAGACCAUGUGUAAAUCCUUUUUCCCAUCUCUAUAUCUUUCCAUCAAUCUUCGUAAGAGAUAGAUUGCCUCCAUGGUUGAGCGCCCUGGCAUGAACCCGAAUUGGUUGUCCGAAAUCCGUGUCUCUUGCCUCAAUCUAUGCUCAAUGACUCUCUCCCAGAGCUUCAUUGUAUGACUCAUUAGCUUAAUACCCCUAUAGUUCAUGCAAUUUUGUACGUCGCCCUUAUUCUUGUAGAUAGGCACCAAAGUGCUCGUUCGCCACUCAUUUGGCAUCUUUCUUCGUUUUCAAAAUCCUAUUGAAAAGGUCAGUGAGCCAUGUUAUACCUGUCUCUCCCAAAACUUUCCACACUUCGAUUGGUAUAUCGUCUGGGCCUAUUGCUUUUCUAUGCUUCAUCUUCUUCAAAGCUACAACCACUUAUUCCUUCCGGAUUCGACGAUAAAAAGAGUAGUUUCUACACUCUUCUGAGUUACUCAACUCCCCUAAAGAAGCACUCCUUUCAUGUCAUUCAUUGAAAAGAUUAUGAAAAUAACCUUUCUAUCUGUCUUUAACCGCGUUCUCUGUAGCAAGAACCUUUCCAUCAUCAUCCUUGAUGCACCUCACUUGGUUUAGGUCCCUUGUCUUCUUUUCCCUUGCUCUAGCUAGUUUAUAGAUAUCCAACUCUCCUUCUUUGGUAUCUAGUCGUUUAUACAUAUCGUCGUAAGCCUCUAACUUAGCUUCUCUCACAGCUUUCUUCGCCUCUUGCUUCGCUUUUCUAUACCUUUCACCCUUUUCAUCAGUCCUAUCCUUGUAUAAGGCUUUACAACAUUCCUUCUUAGCCUUCACCUUUGUUUGUACCUCCUCAUUCCACCACCAAGAUUCCUUUUGGUGUGGGGCAAAGCCCUUGGACUCCCCUAAUACCUCUUUUGCUACUUUUCGAAUACAACUAGCCAUGGAAUCCCACAUUUGGCUAGCUUCCCCCUCUCUAUCCCACACACACUGGGUGAUUACUUUCUCUUUGAAAAUGGCUUGUUUUUCUUCUUUUAGAUUCCACCAUCUAGUCCAUUGGGCACUUCCAAGUCUUGUUCUUUUGUCUCACUCUUUUGAUAUGUACAUCCAUCACCAACAAGCGAUGUUGAUUAGUCACGCUCUCUCCUGGUAUAACUUUGCAAUCCUUACAAGUUAUACGAUCCCCUUUCCUCAUUAGAAGAAAAUCUAUUUGUGUUUUUGACGACCCACUCUUGUAGGUGAUCACAUGUUCUUCUCUCUUCUUAAAGAAGGUGUUGGCUAAGAAGAGAUCAUAUGCCAUUGCAAAAUCCAAGAUAGCUUCCCCAUCCUCAUUUCUCUCCCCAAAACCAUGGCCACCAUGAAAACCUCCAUAGUUGCCUGUCUCCCUGCCCACGUGUCCAUUUAAAUCUCCUCCUAUAAAUAACUUCUCCGUCUGAGCAAUUCCUUGCACCAAGUCUCCAAGAUCUUCCCAAAAUUUCUCCUUCGAACUCUUAUCCAACCCUACCUGAGGUGCGUACGCACUAAUCACAUUGAUAAGUUCUUGUCCUAUUACAAUCUUGAUUGCCAUGAUUCUAUCUCCUGCCCUUUUGACAUCUACAACAUCUUGUGUUAAGGUCUUGUCCACGAUGAUGCCAACACCGUUUCUCGUUCUAUUUGUGCCCGAAUACCAAAGUUUAAACCCUGAGUUUUCUAGAUCAUUUGCCUUACUACCAACCCACUUAGUUUCUUGUAGGCACAUAAUAUUUAUCAUUCUCCUCACCAUAACUUCCACUACUUCCAUAGAUUUUCCCGUUAAGGUUCCUAUAUUCCACGUUCCUAAACGCAUUUUGCUCUCUUGAACUCUACCCUUAUGUCCUAGCUUCUUCACCCUCCCCCGUCUAAUAGGAUCAAAGUACUUCUUUUGUGUGUCCCGUGUAAAGUUGAUAGGAGCAUAUGCUCCCAAACAACUUUGAGUGGAGUCGUUCGAAAAGAAGUUUCUAUGGCCCCCUUGCUCAUUUAACACUGCAUCCGGGUGCCGAUGAAGAUACAGCGAUCCUUGCUCACUUAUCAUUAUGCUCGGGCCACAUAGCGCGCCACUUACGGGUGACGCCCUAGCUUUAGCGCGAUUUUGUUCUGGAUUCAUUUUCAUAAGGAUUCGACGUGAUCAUGGAAUGCCGGCUGUCGACUACCUAACGCCCUCCCCCUCCUCCUUUAUCCGGGCUUGGGACCGGCAAUGUAAGAUAAACUUACAUAGGCGGAGUUGCCUCCAUGAAGGAAGAAUUGGGAAAAUGUUUAUCCCUAAGCACCAUACCAAGCAUAGACUCUAGAUUAUUUAACACCCUACAACUAAUUUUGACCAAUAUUGCCAAAUUAAAUCCAAUGAGAUCUCGGAAACCCAAUCAACCAAGCUUCUUGCCCAUGUCAUCUUAUCCCACAGUACCCAGUGACACCUUUUAUUCUUAGACUGUCAUUUCCACCAAAUAUGAGGAAUAACUUGUUCCAUUUAUUUACAAGUACCCAAUGGCAAUUUAAAGCACGACAUAGCAUGAUUCGGAAUUGCUAUUGCAACUGAUUUAAUCAAGAUUUCCUUCCCAGCCGGAGAAAGAAAUUGCUCCGCCCAACCAUCAAUACGACUUUCAAUACCUUGAUGCACCGCUUCAAACACUGCCUUCUUCGAGUGCCCAAAAUCUGCCUGUAUUCCCAAGUAUUUGCUGAAUCCAUCACGAGCUUGAAUGUUCAUUUUCAUAACAAUACGCUUUUUUUGCUUCUUCGAACAACCUUUCCCAAAGAAAAUAACGCGUUUCUCCAAAUUAAUAAUUUGACCAGAAAACAUACCAUAAUCCUCCAAAAUUUGAAUCAUACUUCCAGCCUCCGUCUCAUCCACUUUACAGAACACCACCCAAAUCAUCUGUAAAAAAAAAAGAUGAGUGAUUGGCACAACAUUCGGCGCCACCCGCACCCCACUAAUUAGACCAUUCAUCUCAUGUUGUCGAAUAUAUGCCGAAAGAGCUUCCGCACAUAGGAGGAAUAAAAUGGGGACAUUAGAUUCCCUUGCCUCAAUCCCCCUUCCGGUCGAAAAUAUCCUGAUGGUACACCAUUCACCAUAACACUAUAUGAUACCGUAGAAAUGUAUUCUCGAAUCCAAUCUUAAAAUUUGGAAUGAAACCCCAAAUUGAUCAUAACCUGGAUCAAGAAGCCCCAUUCCACCUUAUCAUACGGUUUCGCCGUAUCCAACUUGAUCACCAUUCUACAAUCCUCCCCGUCCACCCCUUGAUUUAAAGAAUGCCAGAUUUCAUGUACUACCAAGAUAUUAUCAUGAAUAUGCCGUCCCGGUACAAAAGGCGACUGAUUUAUACUAACAGCCCGAUCCAUCACUUUUUUUUAAUCUCCUUAUGAAAACCUUGGCAAUGAUUUUGUAUACAACAUUACAUAAGGAAAUUUGCCUCAAUUCCGUCAUCCGCCAUGGAGCUUUCACAUUUGGAAUUAACACUCAAUGUGUAUGAUUAGUCUUUUAUAAUAACCACCUUCCAAUGAUCCUGAAAAAACCCUGCCGAGAAACAUCUGACUGAAAUAAUGUCAUAAAAUAGUUAGCAUCAAUGUCCUGCAUGCAUACCGGAUCCUUCUGCCAUACUCUGUUAUUAUCUUCUAGCCCCUGUAUCCGAUUACUCAUUCUUCGUUGUACCGUUUGGGCAUGAAAAAAUUUAGUAUUUUUAUCCCCAUCUCGGAGCCAAGUAUUCCUUAAUCUCACCUUCCAAUAUUGUUCUUCCUCCUUAAAAGCCAUUGCCAGCUCCUUUUCCUUUGCCUUAAUCUCUCAUUACCGAACACACAAGUCCACCAUCCCCUUUCAGAUCUUUUCCCUCAAUUCUUUUAUACACCUUUUGGAAUUUGGGUUCGUCAACGUCUUCCACAAACCAAUUCAGUAUCGAGUCCCUUCAAUUUCUCACAGACUUUAAAUGCUAAAAACCCAUCCACUGGUUCCCGCCAUGCUUCCGUAAUGAUAUUAUGGCACUCCGGUUUCUUCCCCCACCUAGAAUGAUAGGUAAAACGAUGUGGCCCUUUUUAACUGGUUCUUGUAAGAGCAACCAUAUAAGCUCUAUAAUAAACUAGCCAAGAACAUAAGAUUUAACCAACUAAAUCACAAUCAUAACUCCAAAUAUAUUCUGUAUAUGCAAAUACUGAAGUAAUAUCUGCAACACAUACCUGCAAACUAUUUGCCGAAGUCUUUCCCGUGUGUUCUAUCACAAUAGUCCUUCAUAGUUUGUUGUAUGAUCUCCCUAUCCCACACAUGGUGAAGAUUGGAUUUGUGUCUAUACCAACGCAAGGCUAUUGAGUUUCCUACCUCAUCUGAUAGAACCCGACAUGCUUGGCUGAUGAAUAUCUCCCACAGCAACACACAUGUUCUUCACGGCAUUGAUCACAGGAAAGAAAGUGCUAGACACCAUAUCAUAACUAUGUUCAACAAAUUAGGAUUAAGAGCCAUUAGAGAAAUCUACACACAACCUUCUCAUCUCUGCAAAACUCAAUGCUCUCCAAGUUAUAGGUAAUUGGAACAAUAAGAGCGUAUUUUGUGAGAGCAGGGGCUUGUGGUUUUAUACUACAAGACCUGGAUUGCCCUAUAACAAUCCCACAAGAAAUACAAGACUGCAUUCCUUAUAUCAAUACGAGUCCUAUAAACGAGCAAACACAAGAGUCCUCAAUAUACCAAUAUGAUUGGAUUAACUCUUGUCAACAAGAUUUAGACUUCUUUAUAAUAUCAAUUAUCCCAAGACUUGCAAGAAUCAUACUCAUACUCUUACAGUUCUAUCUGAGGAAAUAAUUAGCAUAGAGUGGUCUGAACCUUCAAACACCACAUGACUAAUCUUCGCAUGAGAAAAUAUGUCCAUCCAUCCCGAAGUCGCCACACCUCUAUCAAGCCGUUGUUGAAUCAACCCAUCAUUAUGUUUGUUUCUCCAUGUAAAAGGGUAGCCCUCAAAACCCAAGUCAAGAGGCUAAUUUCUUGCCAGGAAGUCUCAAAAAUCCCUCUUGCUCGCCAUAAAACGAUAAUUACCUCAUUCAUUCUCUUCGUCAUCCAUAAUAUCAUUAAAAUCACCAACAAUGCAUGUCCCUUGUGAACUAGCAAUUCCCUUACUAAGCUCAUUCCAUUGCCCUUUCCUCCGCAUAUCAUCCUUACUUGCGUAUACAGCUAGCAUAUUCCAAUCUAAAUGUAUCGUAUCACCACAACACCCAGUUCAAUAAAGAAACUAGUCCAAACAAUAUUAGAAAUAGCCACCUCAUCUUUCCAAAAGACACACAGCCCCCCACCAAUACCCUUUGGUUCCACUGGUUGCAUAAAAUCAAUCAUUAACACCUUAAUUAAAUACUUAUACCGAUUGCUUUUAUUUUUUGUCUCAAGCAAGAUCACUAUGCUGGGGUUGUGAAGCCGCACCUGCUCUACCAAUGCAUCAAUUGUCAAGGAACCUCCAAUUUCUUGACAGUUCCAACAUAAGGGUUUCAUGACGACCGUGGAAACCCUUCACUGCUGGUUUUCUCCACCUUAUAAAAAAUAAGAGCCCUCUUAUGCCAGACAUUACUAUCAUAUCCACCUAAAACCUCAACUUCCUCCACUACUUUCGCAAUCUACCACUUCCAUUGCCUGCUCUUCCUACUAAUGGCAGCAAUAAUAUGACCUAAUUCAAAGGGGUUCGAAUCUUGAGUUCCACUCUGAACAGCCCCCACCGUGUUCUCACCAGUCACUUUUCCAUCUUGAUGCACCCCGACGUUCAUACUUCUCCACUGUUCCUCCAUCAGUUGCCCUUCUUCCUCCAUACCAACCGGAGCAUUCAAGUCCACUUGUAAACCCUUAUGACUCCCUUCCUCAUUCCCAACCCAUUUCACCUCAGGUUCAACAAAAUCAGUCAACUCAACAUUCUCAACUCCCGGUGCAACGACACCUCCAUGUCCAAUAAAAACCGCAUCAACAGCUCUUUCUCGUGCCCUCCUCUUCCGUAGUUCAACAUUGAGCCAUGGAUGCUAUCAUACCUCCACUAUCCUCCCCAAUCUUCCUAUCAAAUUUGCUUUGUUUUAAAGGUGAUGAUGCCAUAUCCUCCCCCUGAGUUAUUCUCCGCUCUUCUACUUUCUUGCCCACCAUGACCACCCCCAUCCCGCAUUCCUAUAUCCCCCUACAUCCUUUCACUGUUCCCUUCGCCAUCUAUCCGUGACUCCAUUGAUCUCCCACUUUCCUCUCCCAUACUUAAACUUUUGGAUCUUUUUACGGUGAUCUAAUCACAUUGCCCCGCAAACCCUUUUGAGCCUCUAAUCUUUCAUACGGAAGUGAACCCUCUUGUCUCUGUGGUUCGUCUCCCACCCUCAUUCCAUUCAUGUCACGCAUUCCAUGUACCUUGCACACCCUACUCACGCGUCUAAGCUUCCCACAAUAUAAACAAUAAUUAGGUACACCUUCGUAUUUAAAUUGAACCCAUACUCGUCAUUCAUUUGGGAACGUAGCCAUCAUCCCUCACAUCAAUGGUUCCCAUAGAUUUAAAUGAAUACGUACCUCAAAAAUCUGCCACUACAUUCCUUAUCUGUAAGUUAAAGCUUAUCCCCCAAGUUCUACCCUAACUCCUCUAUGAUUCCUGCCGUAUUCGGUUCUUUCAUAAGGCCCAGCCACCCCUCGCAUGCCACCAUAGUACUACCUUCAUGCUCGCGUAGGGUUUCGUGCGCUGAUGGCCAGAAACCGACUCUCCGACUCUCCGACUUUCUCGGACUAACCCUCCUUUCGAGGACAGAAUUUUUAUAUAAUUCUAAAUUAUAUGGUUGUCAAUUGUCACUUUUUUUAUUUACGUUUAAAUUUUCAUUUUUCAUUUCAUCCGGUUAAUUUUCUUAGAAUCCUAGCACGACCCAAAUUUUUACAACUUGUGGGAUUAAAUGGGUUCCAGUGGUUUGGACAUGUGCAAAGAAGGCCUACUGACGCUCCGGUUCGAAAAUGUGACUACGGGACAGAGGUUCAGGGCCGAAGGGGUAGAGGAAGACCUAGGAAAACUUUGGAAGAGACCCUAAGAAAAGACUUGAGUACUUGGAUCUAACGGAGGACAUGACACAAAACCGAGUGCAAUGACGUUCUAGGAUUCAUAUAGCCGACCCCACUUAGUGGGAAAAUGCUUUGUUGUUGUUGUUGUGGGAUUAAAUGGGUUGUGAUUAUAUUCUCAUAUUGCGUUGAUUUUGUUACAGUAGCUGUGUCUGAACCGGACGGUUUAUCAGAUGGACCGGGAAUAGGGUUCGAUGUGAACCGGAUGCCUGGAGUGGUGGCCUCGGCUGAGGAGGCAGAAGAUACGGCGGCGCCGCUAUCAUCUCCGAACAGCACGGUUUCAUCGUUUCAGAUGGAUUUUGGAAUGAGAAGUGGAGGAAGAUCGAGUAAAAGAGAUUUGGAGGUCGAUGCCGACAGAGCGAGUGAUGACGAGGAGAACGGGUCGACUCGGAAGAAACUCAGGCUCUCUAAAGAUCAAUCGGCUUUUCUUGAGGAGAGCUUCAAAGAGCACAGCACUCUCAACUCAAUCCUGUAAGUCAAGGAAAAAAAAAAAAAAAGAAUAUUUAAGUUUUUUGUUCAGAACUUCAGAGAGUAUACAAUUCUCCUACUUUUGACUAAUUUGUUCGUUGGUCCAUUUUUUAAUAUUUGCAGAAGCGAAAACUUGCUCUUGCUAAACAGUUGAAUCUUCGUCCUCGCCAAGUGGAAGUGUGGUUUCAGAAUCGAAGAGCAAGGUAUACUACUGUUUUAUUUCUGUUUCUCUUUUAUAUAAUUUUUUUUUCAUUUCAUACAAUCACUUGUGAUCACACCUUGAAAUUAGAGUAAACCGAAAUUUAUAUACUAUCUCAUAAAUCACUAUUUGGCACAUCUCUCGUUCUGCAAAUCCUUCUCUCUUUUUUUUUAUUUAUUUUUUUUUUUUUACUUCUAAAUGAAAUAAAUCAAAUAAAAAUACAGACACUGAAAAUUUUGGUUUUUACUUUGAAAAAAAAAAAACGAACAAUUGACAUUUUAUUCCUAUGUUUUAAAUUAGUUGGCCUUCUUUAAAUUACUAAUUUUUGUUUGGAAAAAUGAUGAAACAAUUAUACAGGACCAAGCUGAAGCAGACAGAAGUAGAUUGCGAGUACUUAAAGAGACGCUGUGAAACACUGACAGAAGAGAAUAGGAGGUUACAAAAAGAACUGCAAGAAUUAAGAGCUUUGAAGACCUCUCAGCCUUUCUACAUGCAGCUGCCUGCCACCACACUCACCAUGUGCCCCUCAUGUGAGCGCGUGGUCACAACUGCCUCAGCCAACACCUCCACCACCACCACCACCAACAACAACCACAUAAAGUCUGCUCAGAACAAGCAGCCAAGGUUAAAUCCAUUUGCUGCUCAGGUCCACAU